GGAGAUAUGGCUCCAGUGGUAGAGCAUAUGCUUAGCAAGUGUGAGGCCCUGAGUUCCAACCUCAGUACCUCAA
rnacentral:tRNA from 1 species